rnacentral:rRNA from 1 species
GACGAACGCUGGCGGCGUGCUUAACACAUGCAAGUCGAACGGAAAGGCCCUGCUUUUGUCGGGUGCUCGAGUGGCGAACGGGUGAGUAACACGUGAGUAACCUGCCCUCGACUUUGGGAUAACUUCAGGAAACUGGGGCUAAUACCGGAUAGGAGCUCCUGCUGCAUGGUGGGGGUUGGAAAGUUUCGGCGGUUGGGGAUGGACUCGCGGCUUAUCAGCUUGUUGGUGGGGUAGUGGCUUACCAAGGCUUUGACGGGUAGCCGGCCUGAGAGGGUGACCGGCCACAUUGGGACUGAGAUACGGCCCAGACUCCUACGGGAGGCAGCAGUGGGGAAUAUUGCACAAUGGGCGGAAGCCUGAUGCAGCAACGCCGCGUGCGGGAUGACGGCCUUCGGGUUGUAAACCGCUUUCGCCUGUGACGAAGCGUGAGUGACGGUAAUGGGUAAAGAAGCACCGGCUAACUACGUG